rnacentral:hammerhead_ribozyme from 1 species
AUCCAGCUGACGAGUUUCAAAUAGUACGAAACGCACAUCCUGGAU